AACGCACGAGACCUGCGGACCUGCGGAGGGAUCAUUACUGAGUUUCACAACUCUCUAACCCUGUGUGAACUGAAGUCUGGUUGCUCAGGCAGGCGGCCCCCGGGGGGAGCCGCAGCUUCUCUGAAGCGCCUGCCGGAGGAUACCUAAACUCGUUUUAACAUAUAAUCUUCUGAGUAAUAAAAAAAAAAAUGAAUCAAAACUUUCAACAAUGGAUCUCU
rnacentral:misc_RNA from 1 species